rnacentral:rRNA from 1 species
GGAGUCUGGGCCGUAUCUCAGUCCCAAUGUGGCCGUUCAACCUCUCAGUCCGGCUACUGAUCGUCGCCUUGGUGAGCCGUUACCCCACCAACUAGCUAAUCAGACGCGAGGCCAUCUCAGAGCGAUAAAUCUUUGGCAUCAGGGGGAUGUCCACUCGAUGCAUCAUGCGGUAUUAGCAGCCGUUUCCAGCUGUUGUCCCCCCUCUCCAAGGCAGGUUCCUCACGCGUUACUCACCCGUCCGCCACUUUCCUCACCUUCCGUUGUCCGAAAACUCCUUCCGGUGAUUCUCGUUCGACUUGCAUGUGUUAAGCACGCCGCCAGCGUUCGUCCUGAGCCACUGAUCAAACUACU